GAGAAGUCGUAACAAGGUUUCCGUAGGUGAACCUGCGGAAGGAUCA
rnacentral:rRNA from 2 species